CCCUAACCACAGACUAAAUUCGCUGUUCGGCCUAAAAGAUGAAACGUAACUGGGGUAACACAUAUCUGAAAUAUUUAAUAGCUUGCCGGUGGCUCUUUUGCAGUUGCCACAAGCAAUUUGAUUGAGAUUUGCCCAAGGACUGGGCCACAUAAAUCAGGCUGUCCCAUCGACAGCCAUGUCAACGCUAAGCCGUCGAAUCAAAGCCGAAGCCAAAGGCCCCGAGCCAUGGGGUCCAAAGGUACAUAUAAGGAUUAGAAUUGAAAAGGACCCAGACGAUAUGUAGCACAUGGGCUGUGGGGAGAGCAAUAAAAGCGUCUUAAAAGUUUAAUGUCCCUCGAUUUGCGGUUGCAUACAAAUGACUUUUUAGCCGUCGUCUGCGCUCUCCUCUGCACUCCUGUUUCCUGUCUGUCUUCCUUUUUGUCGUCUGACUUUUGGAUUGGGGCGCAAAUAAAUCGCAGCACUGAGUUUAA